GUCGAGAAUCUUUCACAAUGGGGGCAACCCUGAUGGAGCGACGCCGCGUGGAGGAUAAGGUCUUCGGAUUGUAAACUCCUGUCAUGCGUGAACAAGGUUGCUUGGUUAAUACCUGGGCAAAUUGAUGGUAACGCAAGAGGAAGAGACGGCUAACUCUGUGCCAGCAGCCGCGGUAAUACAGAGGUCUCAAGCGUUGUUCGGAAUCACUGGGCGUAAAGGGUGCGUAGGUGGCGUGGUAAGUCAGAUGUGAAAGCUCGGGGCUCAACCUCGGAACUGCAUCCGAUACUGCCAUGCUAGAGUACUGGAGAGGUGACUAGAAUUCUCGGUGUAGCAGUGAAAUGCGUAGAUAUCGAGAGGAAUACCAAAGGCGUAGGCAGGUCACUGGACAGUUACUGACACUGAGGCACGAAGGCCAGGGGAGCGAACGGGAUUAGAUACCCUAGUAGUCC
rnacentral:rRNA from 1 species